GGCUUUGGCUUUUCCAGUUCUCCAUUAACACCCAACGCAUCCCUUCCUCUCUCUCAUUUGCUCCAGUUUUCUCCUCUCCUCUUCCACAUGUGCAUUCAUGAUAUGAAAAAACAUUUUGAUGAGAGUGUUCUAUCAAAAUUGCCUAAUAGUUAUCAAGAAAUUUUGAGGCAAUCUAUAACAAUUGAAGAGGAGACGUGGGUACUCACAAACACCUCCAAAAUAAUUUCUUUUAUUUUUCCACAGAGCUUUUUUUUCUUUUUUUUUCUUUUUAUUUUUUUAUUUUUUUAUUUUUUUUAUAAUUUAAUUGUAAUGUUCACAUUCAUGUUAUAUCUCAAUUUGAAUCUGCAGACGGUAAUGCAUGUGACCAUGGUCCAAUUCCUUUGGUAAUAUUGAUCUAUUAGAUCCUGGCUCGUUACAGAGCACUGAUGAUCUUCUUUAACCAAAUAGUUCAUUUGUAACAUAUUUUAGAACCAUCCAGUAGAAUAGAGGAGCCUUUUGAUAUGGAGGCCAAUGUAUUACACAUUAUUCGCUACAAGCCCAUAAAACCACUUGUAGAGAGCGGGAGUGUCAUCGAUUUGCUGUAGACAAUCUCGACGGUCCUUGGCAGCUAUCAACAUCGGUGAUGGAGACUAUUCCACUGAUUACUUUGGAGGACAAUUUCAAAUUGGUUGAGCUCAUAGAUGAAUGGUGGAGCAUUGAAGGCACUGGCAAAGACAGUAGAGAGAGAGAUAAACUCUGUGGGAGAGCCAUGAUUUGUCUGACUUUGUCUUUACCUACUCCAACCUUGUUAGAGAGAGUAAUGGAUCAACACCUUCCUUCAUUACCCCACUUGCACUACUUU